rnacentral:tRNA from 1 species
GGGCGAUUGGCGCAGUGGUAGCGCAGCAGUUUUACACACUGUUGGUCGCAGGUUCGAAUCCUGCAUCGCCCACCA